rnacentral:lncRNA from 1 species
AAUGAUAAUGGUGUUUAAAUUGGAUAAUGGCUUUUAAAGCAAUGGGGGAAAUUUGAAUGGUGUUUAAACCUAAAGGUUGGGGUUUAAAACAAAAGUUUGGUAGGAGUGGUGUUUAAGUUGGGGAGUAAGAUUCUGGUGUUUAAACCAAAGGGAGUUAAUGAAGGUGGUGUUUAUACUGGGUAGUGGUGUUUAAACCAAAGGAGGACAUUGAUGUGGUGUUUAAA